UUUUGUAUAAUGGGUCAGCGAGUUAGUCUGGCAGGCAAGCUUAAGCCGUGAGGUGUAGGCGUAGCGAAAGCGAGUCUUAAUAGGGCGAAUGAGUACGUAGCAUUAGACCCGAAGGCAAGUGAUCUAGAUAUGGGCAGGCUGAAGGUGCAGUAACAUGCACUGAAGGGCCGAACCCACGUCUGUUGAAAAAGACAGGGAUGACUUGUGGCUAGGGGUGAAAGGCCAAUCAAACCCGGAAAUAGCUGGUUCUCCGCGAAA
rnacentral:rRNA from 14 species